CCCAGGUUAAGCGGAGGAGCUCUGAAGCUUGGCGUUGGCAAGAUUUUUGCCCAGCUUCAAAGGGAUUUGAAGGGUGGUGACAGGCUCCAGCCCAGACUGCGCCUCGGAAUGCAGACGCUUCUCUGCCUAGAACCUGGCCCGGCCCUAUGGGAAAGCCCCGGUUCUCGGCGGCACUGAACUGGUUCAUAUUCUAAAGAGAGCAGGCACUGAGCAAAUGUUUGUUGAACUGAACCAAUCUGCUAGUUAUGGGGACAUGACCUCCACUUCAUGGUGUUGAACUAAACAAACACAUACUUCUCCAGACAAAUAUUAAAACUGGUGAACUUCAAAAUAACGUGAAAAGCUCCUAUGUUUCCAUGCCUCAUUAUAUGCCACAAAAAAUCAAAUGAUAACGAGAACAAAGUAGGUUAUUUUGUUUGCUAUUUAACUUGUGUGCAGGUCUUCACAGAAUGAGAGGCAUACCAACACUCAUGACCCCAGGCUAGUUCUGUUCUUUGCCAGUGUGUGGUUUGGGAGUUCUGUGAAGUGUUUGCAGUCGCUACUAAUAAUCCAGGUGACACGGCAAACAUUGCAGUUCCUAGGUCCAGCACAAUUAGAGGAGGGUUCACUCGUAGGCAGCAUCUGAGCAACAGGCUCACCAGACUUCAGCCUCUUCACUCCGACUCUUCCACGCUCCAGCUCUCUUCAUUAAGAUAUUCUAGAAGCAACUGAGGAGUUUCUACAAACAUUUUGGAAAUUACAGGUCAAGUGGAAGUUUGUUUUCAUUUCAGUUAAGGUACGAGUUGUUCUGACUGCUGUGCAGACAUUCACACGCCCGCUGCUAGAAAGCUGGAGCUGGAAGGAGCAUUGGGGCCCGCUGAGUCCUCCUUUCUCAUGUAUGGAUGCGGAUGUGGAGGCAGGCCCUAAGUCUUAGUGUAGGUGCCGAUGGUGCAGGUUGACUCACUUAAAGAAGAAUUUGAAUCAUUAUCUAACAGAAAAAGAUCAAUAACAAGCAUUAUUGCUGGAACAUUCUAUGGAUAGACUGCUUUCUAUACAUGAUUGGUGAAUAUUGUAUUUCAAUUAAUUAUAUAUCCUGAUAAUAUAUGAAUUAAUACU
rnacentral:lncRNA from 1 species